UUCCGUAGGUGAACCUGCGGAGGGAUCAUUACCGAGUUUACAACUCCCAAACCCAAUGUGAACGUUACCAAACUGUUGCCUCGGCGGGGUCACGCCCCGGGUGCGUCGCAGCCCCGGAACCAGGCGCCCGCCGGAGGAACCAACCAAACUCUUUCUGUAGUCCCCUCGCGGACGUAUUUCUUACAGCUCUGAGCAAAAAUUCAAAAUGAAUCAAAACUUUCAACAACGGAUCUCUUGGUUCUGGCAUCGAUGAAGAACGCAGCGAAAUGCGAUAAGUAAUGUGAAUUGCAGAAUUCAGUGAAUCAUCGAAUCUUUGAACGCACAUUGCGCCCGCCAGUAUUCUGGCGGGCAUGCCUGUCCGAGCGUCAUUUCAACCCUCGAACCCCUCCGGGGGAUCGGCGUUGGGGAUCGGGACCCCUCACACGGGUGCCGGCCCCGAAAUACAGUGGCGGUCUCGCCGCAGCCUCUCCUGCGCAGUAGUUUGCACAACUCGCACCGGGAGCGCGGCGCGUCCACGUCCGUAAAACACCCAACUUUCUGAAAUGUUGACCUCGGAUCAGGUAGGAAUACCCGCUGAACUUAAGCAUAUCAA
rnacentral:rRNA from 1 species